GGACAGUGGCGCACGGGUGAGUAACACGUGAGCAAUCUGCCCGGAAGCCCGGAAUAGCCCUCCGAAAGGAGGAUUAAUGCCGGAUGUGGCCAACCUGCGAUUGCGGGUGACGCUAAAGAUUUAUCGCUUCUGAGAGGAGCUCGCGGCCCAUCAGCUUGUUGGUGAGGGUAAUGGCCCACCAAGGCGGUGACGGGUAGCUGGUCUGAGAGGAUGGUCAGCCACACUGGAACUGAGACACGGUCCAGACACCUACGGGUGGCAGCAGUCGAGAAUCAUUCGCAAUGGGGGCAACCCUGACGAUGCGACGCCGCGUGAAGGAUGAAGGCCCUAGGGUUGUAAACUUCUGUCAAGAGGGAAUAAGCAAGUGAAGGUACCUCUAGAGGAAGGGGCGGCUAAUUCCGUGCCAGCAGCCGCGGUAACACGGAAGCCCCGAGCGUUGUUCGGAUUUAUUGGGCGUAAAGGGUGCGUAGGCGGCGCGGAAAGUCUGGUGUGAAAGGCAGGGGCUCAACCUCUGGACUGCACUGGAUACUCCCGUGCUUGAGGACUGGAGGGGAGACUGGAAUUCACGGUGUAGCAGUGAAAUGCGUAGAUAUCGUGAGGAAGACCGGUGGCGAAGGCGAGUCUCUGGACAGUUCCUGACGCUGAGGCACGAAGGCUGGGGUAGCGAACAGGAUUAGAUACCCUGGUAGUCCCAGCAGUAAACGAUGUGAGCUUGAUGUGGGGGGAUUCGACCCCUUCCGUGUCGAAGUUAACGCGAUAAGCUCACCGGCUGAAGAGUACGAUCGCAAGAUUAAAACUCAAAGAAAUUGACGGGGACCCGCACAAGCGGUGGAGUAUGUGGGCUUAAUUCGAUGCAACGCGAAGAACCUUACCUGGCCUUGACAUUGCAUUGUGUCGUCGGUGAAAGCCGGCUAGUCCUGGAAACAGGACGCUUUGCACAGGUGCUGCAUGGCUGUCGUCA
rnacentral:rRNA from 1 species